rnacentral:rRNA from 1 species
UAGUCCACGCCGUAAACAAUGAGCACUAGUUAUAGCGGGUAUUAACCCCUGCUGUGACGUAGCUAACGCAUUAAGUGCUCCGCCUGGGGAGUACGGUCGCAAGACUAAAACUCAAAGGAAUUGACGGGGGCCCGCACAAGCGGUGGAUUAUGUGGUUUAAUUCGAAGCAACGCGCAGAACCUUACCUGGGCUUGAAAUCUGGAGAAUCUUGUAGAGAUACAGGAGUGCCCUUCGGGGAAUUCCAUGACAGGCGCUGCAUGGCUGUCGCCAGCUCGUGUUGUGAAAUGUUGGGUUAAGUCUCGCAACGAGCGCAACCCUUGUCCUUAUUUGCCAGCACAUUAUGGUGGGAACUCUAAGGAGACUGACGGUGACAAACCGUAGGAAGGUGGGGACGACGUCAAGUCAUCAUGGCCCUUACGGGUGGGCUACAAACGUGCUACAAUGGGGAGUACAAAGGGCUGCAAGCUGGCAACAGUGAGCGAAUCCCAAAAAACUAUCACAGUUCGGAUCGG